UACGAAGGGGGCUAGCGUUGCUCGGAUUGACUGGGCGUAAAGGGCGCGUAGGCGGUUCGUACAGUCAGACGUGAAAUUCCUGGGCUCAACCUGGGGGCUGCGUUUGAUACGUGCGGACUUGAGUGCGGAAGAGGGUCGUGGAAUUCCCAGUGUAGAGGUGAAAUGCGCAGAUAUCAGGAAGAACACCCGUGGCGAAGGCGGCUCUCUGGGACGGUACUGACGCUGAGACGCGAAAGCGUGGGGAGCGAACAGG
rnacentral:rRNA from 1 species